UAAAUCAUUUACUAAAAGCCAAGACAAUAGUUAAUUACUUUUUUAUUUCAAAAGACUUGCUGCUUUGUGUUUUUUUUUAGGUUGGAGUUCAACAACAAACUUGCUUUACCUAAUGGCAAGCCACAAAACUUGUUGUACUUGUUUGCAAGCCACAAAACUUGCUGUAUCUAUUUGCAGUCUUGUAACAUGGUAUUGAGCGGAAGGGGGCGGCUUACACCCCUUUUCAUGAAGGCAAUUUAUACACCACUGUAACAUGGUAUUAGGCGGAAGGGGGACGGCUUAUACCCCUUCUAUGAAGUCAAUUUAUACACCACUAGUUACUAUUUUUUCAAGUAUCGAAAUAUAUUUUUUAUUUUAUACUAAAAUUGAUUGUUUUAGUAAAGAUUGAAAUAUUUAAACGAAUGAAAUUUUGAUAGGGUAUGUUAAACCUUAUUCAAAACCCAACACCCGACU